UUUGGUUAAGUUAGAAAGGGCGCACGGUGGAUGCCUUGACACUAGGAGUCGAUGAAGGACGGGACUAACGCCGAUAUGCUUCGGGGAGCUGUAAGUAAGCUUUGAUCCGAAGAUUUCCGAAUGGGGAAACCCACCAUACGUAAUGGUAUGGUAUCCUUAUCUGAAUACAUAGGGUAAGGAAGACAGACCCAGGGAACUGAAACAUCUAAGUACCUGGAGGAAGAGAAAGCAAAUGCGAUUUCCUGAGUAGCGGCGAGCGAAACGGAACAUAGCCCAAACCAAGAGGCUUGCCUCUUGGGGUUGUAGGACAUUCUAUACGGAGUUACAAAGGAACGAGGUAGACGAAGCGACCUGGAAAGGUCCGUCGUAGAGGGUAACAACCCCGUAGUCGAAACUUCGUUCUCUCUUGAAUGUAUCCUGAGUACGGCGGAACACGUGAAAUUCCGUCGGAAUCUGGGAGGACCAUCUCCCAAGGCUAAAUACUCCCUAGUGAUCGAUAGUGAACCAGUACCGUGAGGGAAAGGUGAAAAGCACCCCGGAAGGGGAGUGAAAGAGAUCCUGAAACCGUGUGCCUACAAAUAGUCAGAGCCCGUUAACGGGUGAUGGCGUGCCUUUUGUAGAAUGAACCGGCGAGUUACGAUCCCGUGCGAGGUUAAGCUGAAGAGGCGGAGCCGCAGCGAAAGCGAGUCUGAAUAGGGCGUUUAGUACGUGGUCGUAGACCCGAAACCAGGUGAUCUACCCAUGUCCAGGGUGAAGUUCAGGUAACACUGAAUGGAGGCCCGAACCCACGCACGUUGAAAAGUGCGGGGAUGAGGUGUGGGUAGCGGAGAAAUUCCAAUCGAACCUGGAGAUAGCUGGUUCUCCCCGAAAUAGCUUUAGGGCUAGCCUUAAGUGUAAGAGUCUUGGAGGUAGAGCACUGAUUGGACUAGGGGUCCUCAUCGGAUUACCGAAUUCAGUCAAACUCCGAAUGCCAAUGACUUAUCCUUAGGAGUCAGACUGCGAGUGAUAAGAUCCGUAGUCAAAAGGGAAACAGCCCAGACCGCCAGCUAAGGUCCCAAAGUGUGUAUUAAGUGGAAAAGGAUGUGGAGUUGCUUAGACAACUAGGAUGUUGGCUUAGAAGCAGCCACCAUUUAAAGAGUGCGUAAUAGCUCACUAGUCGAGUGACUCUGCGCCGAAAAUGUACCGGGGCUAAAUACACCACCGAAGCUGCGGAUUGAUACCAAUGGUAUCAGUGGUAGGGGAGCGUUCUAAGGACAGUGAAGUCAGACCGGAAGGACUGGUGGAGUGCUUAGAAGUGAGAAUGCCGGUAUGAGUAGCGAAAGACGGGUGAGAAUCCCGUCCACCGAAUGCCUAAGGUUUCCUGAGGAAGGCUCGUCCGCUCAGGGUUAGUCAGGACCUAAGCCGAGGCCGACAGGCGUAGGCGAUGGACAACAGGUUGAUAUUCCUGUACCACCUCUUUAUCGUUUGAGCAAUGGAGGGACGCAGAAGGAUAGAAGAAGCGUGCGAUUGGUUGUGCACGUCCAAGCAGUUAGGCUGAUAAGUAGGCAAAUCCGCUUAUCGUAAAGGCUGAGCUGUGAUGGGGAAGCUCCUUAUGGAGCGAAGUCUUUGAUUCCCCGCUGCCAAGAAAAGCUUCUAGCGAGAUAAAAGGUGCCUGUACCGCAAACCGACACAGGUAGGCGAGGAGAGAAUCCUAAGGUGUGCGAGAGAACUCUGGUUAAGGAACUCGGCAAAAUGACCCCGUAACUUCGGGAGAAGGGGUGCUUUCUUAACGGAAAGCCGCAGUGAAUAGGCCCAAGCGACUGUUUAGCAAAAACACAGCUCUCUGCGAAGCCGUAAGGCGAAGUAUAGGGGGUGACACCUGCCCGGUGCUGGAAGGUUAAGGAGAGGGGUUAGCGUAAGCGAAGCUCUGAACUGAAGCCCCAGUAAACGGCGGCCGUAACUAUAACGGUCCUAAGGUAGCGAAAUUCCUUGUCGGGUAAGUUCCGACCCGCACGAAAGGUGUAACGAUUUGGGCACUGUCUCAACCAGAGACUCGGUGAAAUUAUAGUACCUGUGAAGAUGCAGGUUACCCGCGACAGGACGGAAAGACCCCGUGGAGCUUUACUGUAGCCUGAUAUUGAAUUUUGGUACAGUUUGUACAGGAUAGGCGGGAGCCUUUGAAACCGGAGCGCUAGCUUCGGUGGAGGCGCUGGUGGGAUACCGCCCUGACUGUAUUGAAAUUCUAACCUACGGGUCUUAUCGACCCGGGAGACAGUGUCAGGUGGGCAGUUUGACUGGGGCGGUCGCCUCCUAAAGUGUAACGGAGGCGCCCAAAGGUUCCCUCAGAAUGGUUGGAAAUCAUUCGUAGAGUGCAAAGGCAUAAGGGAGCUUGACUGCGAGACCUACAAGUCGAGCAGGGACGAAAGUCGGGCUUAGUGAUCCGGUGGUUCCGCAUGGAAGGGCCAUCGCUCAACGGAUAAAAGCUACCCCGGGGAUAACAGGCUUAUCUCCCCCAAGAGUCCACAUCGACGGGGAGGUUUGGCACCUCGAUGUCGGCUCAUCGCAUCCUGGGGCUGUAGUCGGUCCCAAGGGUUGGGCUGUUCGCCCAUUAAAGCGGUACGCGAGCUGGGUUCAGAACGUCGUGAGACAGUUCGGUCCCUAUCCGUCGUGGGCGUAGGAAAUUUGAGAGGAGCUGUCCUUAGUACGAGAGGACCGGGAUGGACGCACCGCUGGUGUACCAGUUGUUCUGCCAAGGGCAUAGCUGGGUAGCUAUGUGCGGAAGGGAUAAGUGCUGAAAGCAUCUAAGCAUGAAGCCCCCCUCAAGAUGAGAUUUCCCAUAGCGUAAGCUAGUAAGAUCCCUGAAAGAUGAUCAGGUUGAUAGGUUCGAGGUGGAAGCAUGGUGACAUGUGGAGCUGACGAAUACUAAUAGAUCGAGGACUUAACCAUAUAA
rnacentral:rRNA from 7 species